rnacentral:tRNA from 1 species
GGUCCUGUAGUGAAGUUCAUGUUGAGUUGCAAGCUCAUUGAUGUGUACUAAGAGUGCGCCAGGACCU